UUUUAUGAGAGUUUGAUCCUGGCUCAGGACGAACGCUGGCGGCGUGCCUAAUACAUGCAAGUCGAACGCUUCUUUUUCCACCGGAGCUUGCUCCACCGGAAAAAGAGGAGUGGCGAACGGGUGAGUAACACGUGGGUAACCUGCCCAUCAGAAGGGGAUAACACUUGGAAACAGGUGCUAAUACCGUAUAACAAUCGAAACCGCAUGGUUUYGAUUUGAAAGGCGCUUUCGGGUGUCGCUGAUGGAUGGACCCGCGGUGCAUUAGCUAGUUGGUGAGGUAACGGCUCACCAAGGCGACGAUGCAUAGCCGACCUGAGAGGGUGAUCGGCCACAUUGGGACUGAGACACGGCCCAAACUCCUACGGGAGGCAGCAGUAGGGAAUCUUCGGCAAUGGACGAAAGUCUGACCGAGCAACGCCGCGUGAGUGAAGAAGGUUUUCGGAUCGUAAAACUCUGUUGUUAGAGAAGAACAAGGAUGAGAGUAACUGUUCMUCCCUUGACGGUAUCUAACCAGAAAGCCACGGCUAACUACGUGCCAGCAGCCGCGGUAAUACGUAGGUGGCAAGCGUUGUCCGGAUUUAUUGGGCGUAAAGCGAGCGCAGGCGGUUUCUUAAGUCUGAUGUGAAAGCCCCCGGCUCAACCGGGGAGGGUCAUUGGAAACUGGGAGACUUGAGUGCAGAAGAGGAGAGUGGAAUUCCAUGUGUAGCGGUGAAAUGCGUAGAUAUAUGGAGGAACACCAGUGGCGAAGGCGGCUCUCUGGUCUGUAACUGACGCUGAGGCUCGAAAGCGUGGGGAGCAAACAGGAUUAGAUACCCUGGUAGUCCACGCCGUAAACGAUGAGUGCUAAGUGUUGGAGGGUUUCCGCCCUUCAGUGCUGCAGCUAACGCAUUAAGCACUCCGCCUGGGGAGUACGACCGCAAGGUUGAAACUCAAAGGAAUUGACGGGGGCCCGCACAAGCGGUGGAGCAUGUGGUUUAAUUCGAAGCAACGCGAAGAACCUUACCAGGUCUUGACAUCCUUUGACCACUCUAGAGAUAGAGCUUCCCCUUCGGGGGCAAAGUGACAGGUGGUGCAUGGUUGUCGUCAGCUCGUGUCGUGAGAUGUUGGGUUAAGUCCCGCAACGAGCGCAACCCUUAUUGUUAGUUGCCAUCAUUUAGUUGGGCACUCUAGCAAGACUGCCGGUGACAAACCGGAGGAAGGUGGGGAUGACGUCAAAUCAUCAUGCCCCUUAUGACCUGGGCUACACACGUGCUACAAUGGGAAGUACAACGAGUCGCAAAGUCGCGAGGCUAAGCUAAUCUCUUAAAGCUUCUCUCAGUUCGGAUUGUAGGCUGCAACUCGCCUACAUGAAGCCGGAAUCGCUAGUAAUCGCGGAUCAGCACGCCGCGGUGAAUACGUUCCCGGGCCUUGUACACACCGCCCGUCACACCACGAGAGUUUGUAACACCCGAAGUCGGUGAGGUAACCUUUUGGAGCCAGCCGCCUAAGGUGGGAUAGAUGAUUGGGGUGAAGUCGUAACAAGGUAGCCGUAUCGGAAGGUGCGGCUGGAUCACCUCCUUUCUAAGGAA
rnacentral:rRNA from 1 species